rnacentral:rRNA from 1 species
UACGUAGGGGCCUAGCGUUGUCCGGAAUUAUUGGGCGUAAAGAGCUCGUAGGCGGUUCGGCAAGUCGGAUGUGAAAUCUCCACGCUUAACGUGGAGGGGCCAUUCGAAACUGCUGUGACUCGAGUCCGGUAGGGGAGUGUGGAAUUCCCGGUGUAGCGGUGAAAUGCGCAGAUAUCAGGAAGAACACCCGUGGCGAAGGCGGCUCUCUGGGACGGUACUGACGCUGAGACGCGAAAGCGUGGGGAGCGAACAGG